ensembl:snoRNA
GUUGCGGUGAUGAAACCCAUGCGUGUCAACUGACUGCGGCUGUCCUGCUGUGGUGUGGCUGUGUCGGGCGUUUUGUCUGUCACUGUCAUCGCUACAUCAGACGCCCACAGACAUGAUCAUAACCUGGGUCUGAGAGC